UUCAAACUUUAGGAAUAUUUAUAAAUCUGUAUAUCCCAAACAUGAAUCCCACAAUUUUUUUUAUAGCAUAAAUAUUAAUUUAUGGGUUCAAUUAAAGUCUUACAUAUUUUGGUUGCACUUUUACUUAUUGCCCUUAUAUUGGCUUCUAAUGUUUCUUGUUCCAGGAAAUUGCUUGAUGUAGCUCAAGCACCAAGUUAUGGACCAGCAAUGCUGAUCCAGCCCGCUGAUGCUCCCUUUGAUGGGAACUACUCUUAUGGACCAACCAUGAAGCCAGCAGCGGCUGCAGCCAGCUGAUACUUCCUUUGGUGUGGGAAUUACUCUUAAUAAAUGGUCAAGGAUGGAACUUAGUAAAGAAAUAUAUAUUUGGUCUUACAUUUGAAAAUUUAUAUUAAGAAGUUUGAAAUUGUACGUCGUCAAUACUUCAAUAUGGAAUUGUGUGUUGUGUUUGUGUUUUCUUUAAAUAGAUACUUCAACAAUAACGAAAAUGAGAAUAUAUUACAAUCUAUUCGUGAGAA